AUUGAACGCUGGCGGCAGGCUUAACACAUGCAAGUCGAACGAGUGGCGGACGGGUGAGUAAUCUCUGGUAAAUUGCCCGAUGGUGUGGGAUCACUACUGGAAACAGUAGCUAAUACCGCAUACCCUCCGACGUGCCCAGAUGGGAUUAGCUAGUAGGUGGGGUAACGGCUCACCUAGGCGACGAUCCCUAGCUGGUCUGAGAGGAUGACCAGCCACACUGGAACUGAGACACGGUCCAGACUCCUACGGGAGGCAGCAGUGGGGAAUAUUGCACAAUGGGCGCAAGCCUGAUGCAGCCAUGCCGCGUGUAUGAAGAAGGCCUUCGGGUUGUAAAGUACUUUCAGCGAGGAGGCGUUACUCGCAGAAGAAGCACCGGCUAACUCCGUGCCAGCCGCCGCGGUAAUUC
rnacentral:rRNA from 1 species